rnacentral:rRNA from 1 species
CAGAACUAGCCCCAUCACCCAUAAACUCAACUACACUAACACUAAAACAAAACAUUUACUAACUAAAGUAUAUGUGAUAGAAAUAUUAAUUAGGGAGCUAUAGAUGCAGUACCGUAAGNNNNNNCGUCCUGAAGCCAAUAACCCCGAAGCCAGACGAGCUACUCGUGAACAAUUACUAGAAUGAACUCAUCUAUGUGGCAAAAUAGUGAGAUGAUUUACGAGUAGAGGUGAAAUGCCAAUCGAGCCUGGAGAUAGCUGGUUGUCCAAAAAAGAAUUUCAGUUCGACCUAAAGCCAUACCUACAAAACUAAUAAUUGUAAUGUAAGCUUUAGAGCUACUCAAUAGAGGUACAGCUCUAUUGAACAAGAAUACAACCUUGUAAGGCGAGUAAGAAACCACCACGACCAUAGUUGGCCUAAAAGCAGCCACCAAUUAAGAAAGCGUUAAAGCUCAACCCUUAUAACCUCUAUAAUCCCAAAAAUCAUUAUCAACCUCCCUUAUCUUAAAUUGGACUAUUCUAUUUAAGCUUAGAAAAAAUAAUGUUAGCAUGAGUAACAAGAAAUAUUUCUCCGCGCACAAGCUUAUAUCAGAACGAAUGCCCACUGAUAGUUAACAAUCAAAUAACUUCAAACCACAUCCAAAUACAUUUAUUACACAUAUUGUUAACCCGACACAGGAGUGCGACCCGGAAAGAUUAAAAGAAGUAGAAGGAACUCGGCAAA